rnacentral:rRNA from 1 species
AUUGAACGCUGGCGGCAUGCCUAACACAUGCAAGUCGAACGAGUGGCGGACGGGUGAGUACUGUCUGGGAACCUGCCUGAUGGAGGGGGAUAACUACUGGAAACGGUAGCUAAUACCGCAUACCAUCGGAUGUGCCCAGAUGGUAGUGGCUAGUAGGUGGGGUAAAGGCUCAUCUAGGCGACGAUCCAUAGCUGGUAUGAGAGGAUGACCAGCCAGACUGUAACUGAGACACGGCCCAGACUCCUACGGGAGGCAGCAGUGGGGAAUAUUGCACAAUGGGCGAAAGCCGGAUGCAGCCAUGCCGCGUGUAUGAAGAAGGCCUUCGGGUUGUAAAGCACUGUCAGCGGGGAUGCGGUACCCGCAGAAGAAGCACCGGCUAAAUACGUGCCAGCAGCCGCGGUAAUUC